GGAAGUGAGCUGCCAUGUACUAGGCCACGUGGCAAGGGCCUGGUUGGGGACCUCCAGGGGUUGAGAGCAUCCUCUGGACAACAUGGAAAAAGAAAAUGAAAAUGGUGACCUCAGCCCUAUAGCUAGAAGGAAUUGAAUCCUGUCAACAACGAUACUCAUCACUCACUGCAGAUGUUACUUUAAGACAUUCUGGAGCAGCGUCAUGUGCAGGAACAAUAAGGAAGUGAGUGCUUUUGUAAUUCCUGAACAACUGUGUCUUACACUUACUAAGUUCUCUUGCCUGCCACCAUGUAAGAUAUGCUUUUACUCUUCCGCCUUCCACCGUGACUGUGAGGCCUCCCCAGCCAUGUGAAACUGCCUUUGAGCUUAUACUGAAUUAUACCACCAGCUUUCCUAGGUCUUGAAGCUUACAGACAGCAGAUCUUGGGACUUCUCAGGCACCAUAAUCAAUCAUAGAUAAAUGAUCCAAUGAUUCGGAACUUGAAAAGUGGUAGCUUUAUGAAUUCUCCUUAAGAAGAAACCUGUGCCCUGAUCUUGCCUACUCACCCAAAGGCACUGUGAGAUAGCAUCAAAGGAACAGCUAGUAAGAGACACAGAGCCAGAAAUCAGGGAAGUAAAAUACACUUGACAUCUACGUUCGGAAAGAAAUUUUAGGAGGCAGAAGCAAAUGGAUCAGAAGCUGCUUAUAUUUUUGCAAGAUUACCAAAGAAACCAUUGGUGGAGAAAGUUCUGUGACCAACUUGUCUGAGUCUAGUAAGAUUGAACGCUCACACACAAGUUUCAUGAAGUGGGUUUGAUACUUACAGAUAAGCAGCAAGGACCAACAGAAGCUGAUGAUCUAUGGUGAACUUUUUCCCAAGGCUCCGGAAAGCUGCCUAAAGUAGAUGGAGUCUUCUCUGUGUGUGCCCCACUGGUCCUGCAGUUGAAGGAUCCGGUAAAGCAGCCUGCCCUUGGUUUUAUACUCCAGAGGAACGUGAUUCGCUGGACUAAAGCAUUGAAGUGCAUCCUGUUUCCGGGGGGCACUGGAACAGAGCCUGGUCUGUUCUAGCCAGUCCCUUUCUAUCUCAGGAUAACAUUCUACAGUUAUUCUUGAGAACUAUAAUCAAAUAAGCAGGGAGAACUGGGAAAGCAGAGGCUCAUUGUGGAACCCUCAAGGAGCAUGGGGUCGUCUUCAUCCCUCAGUUUAUAAAUGGCCAAGGAGAGUAAUGCAACAAAAACUUCUCAGAGUUAAAAGCCAGAGUUCCUAAAGAACCGUGGACAAAGGGUUCUGUCUAGUGGGCAGAAUUCAUCCAGCGAAGGUCUCCUAACUACAGAGGGUCACAUCUGGAUCUGAUGGCACCUACAGAACUUGGACUCUGAGCGACAAUCAGUGACCAGGUGUGACUUUAUAUUAUCUCUGUCAGGGAAGGGUGAGAGUUUUCAAUGUGUGAACAUAGAAUAAAAUGGUCUGGUGACCAAAAGGCUCUAUUAAAGAUAAUAUGAGAUGUUCAAAACACUGGCUAUUUUCUUGGGAACAAAAGUUGAACUUCUAAAUCUUUCUCACAGAUUGUAGACCAAAGGAAUGAAUUCUGAUUGGCAGAAUAUAAGCCUACGUAAUAUAAAAAAGACUUCCAGGUUUGGCCCUCUGAGUCUUGACUCAUUACACACCAUCUCACAGCCUUAUUUUGCCUUUCAACAGGAAAUUUGGAACCCAGGUUUUCCCAACCUACAUCUACAAAAUGGAAUGGGUCUGAUUCGCAAGUUUUCAGAGAAAGAAGCCAACCUUAAUCAGACUGUGAUAUGAUGAGGAAAUAAAACUUGCUGUGCUAAUCAACUGAUACUGGGAAGCAUG
rnacentral:lncRNA from 1 species